rnacentral:rRNA from 1 species
UGGGGAAUAUUGCACAAUGGGCGCAAGCCUGAUGCAGCCAUGCCGCGUGUGUGAAGAAGGCCUUCGGGUUGUAAAGCACUUUCAGUCAGGAGGAAAGGUUAGUAGUUAAUACCUGCUAGCUGUGACGUUACUGACAGAAGAAGCACCGGCUAACUCCGUGCCAGCAGCCGCGGUAAUACGGAGGGUGCGAGCGUUAAUCGGAAUUACUGGGCGUAAAGCGUACGCAGGCGGUUUGUUAAGCGAGAUGUGAAAGCCCCGGGCUCAACCUGGGAACUGCAUUUCGAACUGGCAAACUAGAGUGUGAUAGAGGGUGGUAGAAUUUCAGGUGUAGCGGUGAAAUGCGUAGAGAUCUGAAGGAAUACCGAUGGCGAAGGCAGCCACCUGGGUCAACACUGACGCUCAUGUACGAAAGCGUGGGGAGCAAACAGGAUUAGAUACCCCGGUAGUCCACGCCGUAAACGAUGUCUACUAGAAGCUCGGAACCUCGGUUCUGUUUUUCAAAGCUAACGCAUUAAGUAGACCGCCUGGGGAGUACGGCCGCAAGGUUA